rnacentral:rRNA from 1 species
UACGUAGGGUGCAAGCGUUGUCCGGAAUUAUUGGGCGUAAAGAGCUCGUAGGCGGUUUGUCGCGUCUGCUGUGAAAACUCGGGGCUUAACUCCGGGCCUGCAGUGGGUACGGGCAGACUAGAGUGCGGUAGGGGAGACUGGAAUUCCUGGUGUAGCGGUGAAAUGCGCAGAUAUCAGGAGGAACACCGGUGGCGAAGGCGGGUCUCCGGGCCGAUACUGACGCUGAGGAGCGAAAGCGUGGGGAGCGAACAGG